CGGCGGACGGGUGAGUAAUGCCUAGGAAUCUGCCUGGUAGUGGGGGACAACGUUUCGAAAGGAACGCUAAUACCGCAUACGUCCUACGGGAGAAAGCAGGGGACCUUCGGGCCUUGCNCUAUCAGAUGAGCCUAGGUCGGAUUAGCUAGUUGGUGAGGUAAUGGCUCACCAAGGCGACGAUCCGUAACUGGUCUGAGAGGAUGAUCAGUCACACUGGAACUGAGACACGGUCCAGACUCCUACGGGAGGCAGCAGAC
rnacentral:rRNA from 1 species